UACGAAGGGGGCUAGCGUUGCUCGGAAUCACUGGGCGUAAAGGGUGCGUAGGCGGAUCUUUAAGUCAGGGGUGAAAUCCCAAGGCUCAACCUUGGAACUGCCUUUGAUACUGGGGAUCUCGAGUCCGGAAGAGGUUGGUGGAACUGCGAGUGUAGAGGUGAAAUUCGUAGAUAUUCGCAAGAACACCAGUGGCGAAGGCGGCCAACUGGUCCGGUACUGACGCUGAGGUGCGAAAGCGUGGGGAGCAAACAGG
rnacentral:rRNA from 1 species